AACGAACGCUGGCGGCAUGCCUAACACAUGCAAGUCGAACGAGACCUUCGGGUCUCGUGGCGCACGGGUGCGUAACGCGUGGGAACCUGCCCUUAGGUUCGGAAUAACUCCCCGAAAGGGGUGCCAAUACCGGAUAAUGUCUUCGGACCAAAGAUUUAUCGCCUUUGGAUGGGCCCGCGUUGGAUUAGCUAGUUGGUAGGGUAAAAGCCUACCAAGGCGACGAUCCAUAGCUGGUCUGAGAGGAUGAUCAGCCACACUGGGACUGAGACACGGCCCAGACUCCUACGGGAGGCAGCAGUGGGGAAUAUUGGACAAUGGGCGAAAGCCUGAUCCAGCAAUGCCGCGUGAGUGAUGAAGGCCUUAGGGUUGUAAAGCUCUUUUACCCGGGAUGAUAAUGACAGUACCGGGAGAAUAAGCUCCGGCUAACUCCGUG
rnacentral:rRNA from 1 species